rnacentral:rRNA from 1 species
CCUAGGGGGGCUGCAGUGGGGAAUAUUGGACAAUGGGCGAAAGCCUGAUCCAGCCAUGCCGCGUGUGUGAAGAAGGCCUUCGGGUUGUAAAGCACUUUCAGUGGGGAAGAAAGCCUUGGGGCUAAUACCCUCGAGGAAGGACAUCACCCACAGAAGAAGCACCGGCUAACUCCGUGCCAGCAGCCGCGGUAAUACGGAGGGUGCGAGCGUUAAUCGGAAUUACUGGGCGUAAAGCGCGCGUAGGCGGUCUGAUAAGCCGGUUGUGAAAGCCCCGGGCUCAACCUGGGAACGGCAUCCGGAACUGUCAGGCUAGAGUGCAGGAGAGGAAGGUAGAAUUCCCGGUGUAGCGGUGAAAUGCGUAGAGAUCGGGAGGAAUAACAGUGGCGAAGGCGGCCUUCUGGACUGACACUGACGCUGAGGUGCGAAAGCGUGGGUAGCAAACAGGAUUAGAUACCCCAGUAGUC